rnacentral:rRNA from 1 species
ACGGAAGGCGGCAGUGAGGAAUAUUGGUCAAUGGGCGCAAGCCUGAACCAGCCAAGUAGCGUGAGGGAUGACUGCCCUACGGGUUGUAAACCUCUUUUGUUUGGGAAUAAAGGAGCCUACGCGUAGGCUUUUGCAUGUACCUUUCGAAUAAGCAUCGGCUAAUUCCGUGCCAGCAGCCGCGGUAAUACGGAAGAUGCGAGCGUUAUCCGGAUUUAUUGGGUUUAAAGGGAGCGUAGGCGGCCGGUUAAGUCUGCGGUCAAAGGUCAGGGCCCAACCUUGGCAUGCCGUGGAUACUGUCCGGCUUGAGUGCACACGAGGAAGGUGGAAUUCGUCGUGUAGCGGUGAAAUGCUUAGAUAUGACGAAGAACUCCGAUUGCGAAGGCAGCCUUCCGGGGUGUUACUGACGCUGAGGCUCGAAAGUGCGGGAAUCAAACAGGAUUAGAUACCCUGGUA